CACUCUUUUCAACCACUGGAUUUUGGACCCUAGCUAACAACUGCACUAACUGAUCGUUAAGAAUGGAGAUCUUUCUUUCAGGCCUCAAACUAAACGCUUCAGGAAUGCCGACUUGAUUUUUACACAGACUUCCCAUUCCUUUCUGCCACUUUACCCAAGCCAGGAGGCUACAAGGAGGCAAAUUCAAGGGUGCCUGUGCCUUGGGACCUCUGCAAAGCCAGGAAUGACAGCCUUUGGGAACCUCCACCAGGCCUGUCAGAUUCCUACAACACUUGAUUCUGUAAGUGUGAAAACGCAGCUGUCUGGGAGUAGCACGUGACAGCAAGGAUGCCGGGUGAUUGCUUUGAUUGCUUUGAUUGCUUUGGUUUCCCCUAGACCUGAGUCACUACAAAAGAAACCCGUUUUUCUGCCACUUUUCAUCUUCCAAUUUUAGGUCUCUUUACUGAUUCCCCAGAAAUUCAAUGAUUUAAAGCACAGAGUAGGCUGCAAGUAAUUUGAUUAUCAAGAGUAAAUUUCUUAACUCACUCCUGUGCACUCCCUGCAGAAGCUCCC
rnacentral:lncRNA from 1 species